rnacentral:tRNA from 1 species
UAGUCGGGAUACCUCAGCUGGUAGAGCAGAGGACUGAAAAUCCUCGGGUCACAAGU